rnacentral:rRNA from 1 species
GACGAACGCUGGCGGCGUGCUUAACACAUGCAAGUCGAACGGUGAAAGCGGAGCUUGCUCCGCUGGAUCAGUGGCGAACGGGUGAGUAACACGUGGGCAACCUGCCCCUCACUUCGGGAUAACUCCGGGAAACCGGGGCUAAUACCGGAUAUGACCUCCUUGGGCAUCCUUGGAGGUGGAAAGUUUUUCGGUGAGGGAUGGGCCCGCGGCCUAUCAGCUUGUUGGUGAGGUAGUGGCUCACCAAGGCGACGACGGGUAGCCGGCCUGAGAGGGCGACCGGCCACACCGGGACUGAGACACGGCCCAGACUCCUACGGGAGGCAGCAGUGGGGAAUAUUGCGCAAUGGGCGAAAGCCUGACGCAGCAACGCCGCGUGCGGGAUGACGGCCUUCGAGUUGUAAACCGCUUUCAGCAGGGAAGAAGCCGCAAGGUGACGGUACCUGCAGAAGAAGCACCGGCUAACUACGUGCCAGCCGCCGCCGUAAAAC